UAUAUUGCUGCAUUGGUUUCUGUAUACAUCUGUUUCUGCAGGGUCUUGCUUUAAUAGUGAUAAUUAACUGUUCCCUGGCUAGAGUUAGAGUUUAGGAAAAUGUUGUUAAUAGUAUUUAUUUUUCUUUUUCAGUUUCGAAGACCGGUCUUUCAGUUCAUGAAGAUAAAAACCCAAGUUCCCUACGUAAAGGGGUGCGCAGAGCGUUUUGUAUGUAGUCCAGAUGAAGUUAUGGAUACCAUAGAUGAAGGAAAAUCCAACAGACAUGUAGCAGUUACAAGUAAGCAGCAUGUUUAUUAACACUAGCUAAGGUACAGACUGCCUUAAAGUAUCUUUAUCAAGUUGAUUAAAAUUGUAAGAUUUUUUCUUAGGUAAAAUAAUGCUUUAGUGAUGACUCGUAAGGGAAAGCUGUGUUUAUAGUUGUUUCUGUGGUUCCAGUGCCGAUAUGAAUGAACAUAGCUCUAGCAGUCGCAGUAUAUCAUUAAUGUAAAACAAGAGCACACACAAACGGAACAAAAGCUGAGUGGAAAACUUCAUCUGCUAGAUUUAGCAGGUAGUGAGUGGAAAACUUUAUCUGGUUGACUUAGCAGGUAGUGAAAAGGUAAAAAUCUUUACAUUCUGAUGGAUAUCUAAGCAUUUUUACUUAACUUUAGUUCUAAUAUGCGUUAUUCAUUGUUACAUCUUGAAAAUGUGUAUCGAAUUGGAUUUGGUAAUAUUUUUGAGAGUUCACAAGCAUUUGUGCCAUUGCUUUAUUGUUAAAUAAACUGAAUGAUUCCCUCCGAGUUACUGUCAUUCGGGCCAUAGCCCAGUUCCGCCAACACGUGUUGUCCUUGACUCAAAGUGUAUGCUUUUAUUGAGAGUGUGUUCAGCAUACGUCAUUGAGAAUCUUACUAGGUACCCUCUCCCUCAUUUUUCGGUGUCUGUCUGACCCAUCCUGGCGUCGGGCCCUGUGAGGACGGGGAGCUGUCCGCCAGCCCUCCCUGCUUUGGCUGUGCUGCUUUCUUCUUCUGUAUGACUGUUUACUGUGGCCCUUUGCAGCCUGAUUCUAGUUUAUGUCAAAAUGGGAGUAAGUUCAGGUGUUUUCAUGUUGGCCUCUGUCGCCAUUUUUGCUGUUCUGCUGAUUUGUGUCUUCUGAUGAGAACGACAUACCUGUUCCCUUUUACGCAGAAGUCUUACACACAUCCUCCAGAGCCUCUCUCUAAUUUUGGGGAUACUGAGAAGCCAUUUCAAGUUUCUCUUUUCUGGUGCAGCAGAGGGGUUAACAAAAGUAAACUACAAAUGUAUGUGUAAA